GUUAGAGAUUUGAAAGGAGUUGCUCCUAGUACGAGAGGACCGGAGUGAACGUACCACUGGUGUUCCAGUUGUGAUGCCAAUUGCAUUGCUGGGUAGCUACGUACGGACGGGAUAACCGCUGAAAGCAUCUAAGCGGGAAGCCUCCCUUAAGAUGAGAUCUCUCUAGGACAUAAGUCCUCUGUAGGUUCGUUGAAGACUACAACGUUGAUAGGUUGGGUGUGUAAGUGCUGUGAGGCAUUGAGCUAACCAAUACUAAUUAACCGUGAGUCUUGAUCAU
rnacentral:rRNA from 2 species